rnacentral:rRNA from 1 species
UACGAAGGGUGCUAGCGUUGUUCGGAAUUACUGGGCGUAAAGCGCGCGUAGGCGGUCUAACAAGUCAGGGGUGAAAUCCUUGGGCUCAACCCAAGAAUUGCCCUUGAAACUGUUAGACUUGAGUACUGGAGGGGAUAGCGGAAUUCCUAAUGUAGAGGUGAAAUUCGUAGAUAUUCGCAAGAACACCAGUGGCGAAGGCGGCUAUCUGGUCCGGUUCUGACGCUGAGGCGCGAAAGCGUGGGGAGCAAACAGG